rnacentral:rRNA from 1 species
UACGAAGGGGGCUAGCGUCGUUCGGAAUUACUGGGCGUAAAGCGCACGUAGGCGGAUACUUAAGUUAGGGGUGAAAUCCCAGAGCUCAACUCUGGAACUGCCUUUAAUACUGGGUAUCUCGAGUCCGGAAGAGGUGAGUGGAAUUCCGAGUGUAGAGGUGAAAUUCGUAGAUAUUCGGAGGAACACCAGUGGCGAAGGCGGCUCACUGGUCCGGUACUGACGCUGAGGUGCGAAAGCGUGGGGAGCAAACAGGG